ACCUGUCUGACUUAGUGGGUAAAGCAUAUGACUCUUGAUCCUGAAGUCAUGAGUUUGAGCCCCAUGUUGGGUG
rnacentral:tRNA from 1 species